UACGUAGGGGGCCAGCGUUGUCCGGAUUCAUUGGGCGUAAAGCGCGUGUAGGCGGCCAGGUAGGUCCGAUGUGAAAUCUGGAGGCUCAACCUCCAGCGGUCAUUGGAAACCAUCUGGCUAGAGUCCGGAAGAGGAGAGUGGAAUUCCACGUGUAGCGGUGAAAUGCGUAGAGAUGUGGAGGAACACCGAUGGCGAAGGCAGCCUCCUGGGCCAACACUGACGCUCAUGCACGAAAGCGUGGGGAGCAAACAGG
rnacentral:rRNA from 1 species